rnacentral:rRNA from 1 species
UGGGGAAUAUUGGACAAUGGGCGAAAGCCUGAUCCAGCCAUGCCGCGUGUGUGAAGAAGGUCUUCGGGUUGUAAAGCUCUUUUGUCAGGGAAGAAACGGUGAGGGCUAAUAUCCCUUGCUAAUGACGGUACCUGAAGAAUAAGCACCGGCUAACUACGUGCCAGCAGCCGCGGUAAUACGUAGGGUGCAAGCGUUAAUCGGAAUUACUGGGCGUAAAGCGUGCGCAGGCGGUUUUGUAAGUCUGAUGUGAAAUCCCCGGGCUCAACCUGGGAAUUGCAUUGGAGACUGCAAGGCUAGAAUCUGGCAGAGGGGGGUAGAAUUCCACGUGUAGCAGUGAAAUGCGUAGAUAUGUGGAGGAACACCGAUGGCGAAGGCAGCCCCCUGGGUCAAGAUUGACGCUCAUGCACGAAAGCGUGGGGAGCAAACA